ACAGAGGUCUCAAGCGUUGUUCGGAUUCAUUGGGCGUAAAGGGUGCGUAGGUGGCGGGGCAAGUCUGGUGUGAAAUCCCGGGGCUCAACCCCGGAACUGCACUGGAUACUGCCUUGCUAGAGUACUGGAGAGGGAACUGGAAUUUACGGUGUAGCAGUGAAAUGCGUAGAGAUGCGGCGGAACACCGAUGGCGAAGGCAGCCCCCUGGGCUGAGAUUGACGCUCAGGCACGAAAGCGUGGGGAGCAAACGGGA
rnacentral:rRNA from 1 species